rnacentral:rRNA from 1 species
GACGAACGCUGGCGGCGUGCUUAACACAUGCAAGUCGAACGGAAAGGCCCUGCUUUUGUGGGGUGCUCGAGUGGCGAACGGGUGAGUAACACGUGAGUAACCUGCCCUUGACUUUGGGAUAACUUCAGGAAACUGGGGCUAAUACCGGAUAGGAGCUCCUGCUGCAUGGUGGGGGUUGGAAAGUUUCGGCGGUUGGGGAUGGUCUCGCGGCUUAUCAGCUUGUUGGUGGGGUAGUGGCUUACCAAGGCUUUGACGGAUAGCCGGCCUGAGAGGGUGACCGGCCACAUGAGGACUGAGAGACGGCGCAGACGCCUACGGGAGGCAGCAGUGGGGAGUAUUGCACAGUGGGGGGGAGCCUGAUGCAGAGACGCCGCGUGCGGGAUGACGGCCUUCGGGUUGUAAACCGCUUUCGCCUGUGACGAAGCGUGAGUGACGGUAAUGGGUAAAGAAGCACCGGCUAACUACGUG